rnacentral:rRNA from 1 species
GAUGAACGCUGGCGGUAUGCUUAACACAUGCAAGUCGAACGAACAAAAUUGGGGCUUGCUCCAAUUUUAGUGAGUGGCAAACGGGUGAGUAACACGUGGGAAUCUACCUAUCAGUACGGAAUAACAUUUGGAAACAGAUGCUAAUACCGUAUAUUCUCCAAGGAGGAAAGAUUUAUCGCUGAUAGAUGAGCCCGCGUAAGAUUAGGUAGUUGGUAGGGUAAUGGCCUACCAAGCCGACGAUCUUUAGCUGGUCUGAGAGGAUGAUCAGCCACACUGGGACUGAGACACGGCCCAGACUCCUACGGGAGGCAGCAGUGGGGAAUAUUGGACAAUGGGCGAAAGCCUGAUCCAGCAAUACCGCGUGAAUGAUGAAGGCCUUAGGGUUGUAAAGUUCUUUUAGUUGGAAAGAUAAUGACGGUACCAACAGAAAAAGCCCCGGCUAACUCCGUGCCAGCCGCCGCCGUAA